rnacentral:tRNA from 1 species
UUUCCUUUAGCUUAAAUUAAAAGCGUUAGUUUGAAGCACUGAAGUUAACAUUUUGUUAGGGAGGC